rnacentral:rRNA from 1 species
UACGGAGGGAGCUAGCGUUGUUCGGAAUUACUGGGCGUAAAGCGUGCGCAGGCGGUGAUGUAAGACAGAUGUGAAAUCCCCGGGCUCAACCUGGGAACUGCAUUUGUGACUGCAUCGCUGGAGUACGGCAGAGGGGGAUGGAAUUCCGCGUGUAGCAGUGAAAUGCGUAGAUAUGCGGAGGAACACCGAUGGCGAAGGCAAUCCCCUGGGCCUGUACUGACGCUCAUGCACGAAAGCGUGGGGAGCAAACAGG